GAAACGACUGCUAAGACUGGAUAGGAGACAAGAAGGCAUCUUCUUGUUUUUAAAAGACCUAGCAAUAGGUAUGCUUAGGGAGGAGCUUGCGUCACAUUAGUUAGUUGGUGGGGUAAAGGCCUACCAAGACUAUGAUGUGUAGCCGGGCUGAGAGGUUGAACGGCCACAUUGGGACUGAGACACGGCCCAAACUCCUACGGGAGGCAGCAGUAGGGAAUUUUCGGCAAUGGAGGAAACUCUGACCGAGCAACGCCGCGUGAACGAUGAAGUAUUUCGGUACGUAAAGUUCUUUUAUUAGGGAAGAAUAAAUGAUGGAAAAAUCAUUCUGACGGUACCUAAUGAAUAAGCCCCGGCUAACUAUGUGCCAGCAGCCGCGGUAAUACAUAGGGGGCAAGCGUUAUCCGGAAUUAUUGGGCGUAAAGGGUGCGUAGGCGGUUAAAUAAGUUUAUGGUCUAAGUGCAAUGCUCAACAUUGUGAUGCUAUAAAAACUGUUUAGCUAGAGUAAGAUAGAGGCAAGUGGAAUUCCAUGUGUAGUGGUAAAAUGCGUAAAUAUAUGGAGGAACACCAGUAGCGAAGGCGGCUUGCUGGGUCUUUACUGACGCUGAGGCACGAAAGCGUGGGGAGCAAACAGGAUUAGAUACCCUGGUAGUCCACGCCGUAAACGAUGAGUACUAAACGUUGGGUAAAACCAGUGUUGAAGUUAACACAUUAAGUACUCCGCCUGAGUAGUACGUACGCAAGUAUGAAACUUAAAGGAAUUGACGGGACUCCGCACAAGCGGUGGAUCAUGUUGUUUAAUUCGAAGGUACCCGAAAAACCUCACCAGGUCUUGACAUGCUUCUGCAAAGCUGUAGAAACACAGUGGAGGUUAUCAGUUGCACAGGUGGUGCAUGGUUGUCGUCAGCUCGUGUCGUGAGAUGUUGGGUUAAGUCCCGCAACGAGCGCAACCCUUAUUGUUAGUUACCAGCACGUAAUGGUGGGGACUUUAGCAAGACUGCCAGUGAUAAAUUGGAGGAAGGUUGGGACGACGUCAAAUCAUCAUGCCCCUUAUGACCUGGGCUACAAACGUGAUACAAUGGCUGUUACAAAGGGUAGCUGAAGCGCAAGUUUUUGGCGAAUCUCAAAAAAACAGUCUCAGUUCGGAUUGAAGUCUGCAACUCGACUUCAUGAAGUUGGAAUCGCUAGUAAUCGCGAAUCAGCAUGUCGCGGUGAAUACGUUCACGGGGUUUGUACACACCGCCCGUCA
rnacentral:rRNA from 1 species